GACAGAGGGUGCAAACGUUGUUCGGAAUUACUGGGCGUAAAGCGCGUGUAGGCUGUUCGGAAAGUCGAAUGUGAAAGCCCUGGGCUUAACCCAGGAAGUGCAUUCGAAACUCCCGAACUCGAGUCCUGGAGAGGAAGGCGGAAUUCUCGGUGUAGAGGUGAAAUUCGUAGAUAUCGAGAGGAACAUCGGUGGCGAAGGCGGCCUUCUGGACAGUGACUGACGCUGAGACGCGAAAGCGUGGGGAGCAAACAGG
rnacentral:rRNA from 1 species